AUUGAACUCUGGCGGCAGGCCUAACCAAUGCAAGUCGAACGAGUGGCGGACGGGUGAGUAAUGUCUGGGAAACUGCCUGAUGGAGGGGGAUAACUACUGGAAACGGUAGCUAAUACCGCAUACCAUCAGAUGUGCCCAGAUGGGAAUAGCUAGUUGGUGGUGUAACGGCUAACCAAGGCGAAGAUCCCUAGCUUGUCUGAGAGGAGGACCAGCCACACUGGAACGUAGACACGGUCCAGACGCCUACGGGAGGGAGCAGUGGGGAAUAUUGCACAAUGGGCGCAAGCCUGAUGCAGCCAGGCCGCGUGUAUGAAGAAGGCCUUCGGGUUGUAAAGUACUUUCAGCGGGGAGGCGUUACCCGCAGAAGAAGCACCGGCUAACUCCGUGCCAGCCGCCGCGGUAAUUC
rnacentral:rRNA from 1 species